rnacentral:ncRNA from 1 species
CUCCCCCCGCCGUGUGGAUGUGCGACGGAGUCCACGGUGGCGGGAUACCUCUCAAUGACGACCUCCAUCGCACCGCGUGACGCCUAGAUCAUGCGGCCCAAUCACGGGAGAGAACGCUGAGCGUUACAAC